rnacentral:misc_RNA from 1 species
CAACCAACGAAAGGAGGUGAUCCAGUGUCUCUUACCAAGCGCUGUCACCUCGCUGGGAUCGCCCGCUAGGCUCUGCAAGGCUAACGAGCUUUGAAGGUCCGGCAUCGGGGCGCUCUCAGCCCUGGACCAGCGAGCACAAAUAAUGGGGCGCGACGGGAGCAAUCCCGCCGCGCC